rnacentral:lncRNA from 1 species
AGGAGAAGGACAUGGCUCAGAGCCAUUAGUGCCGGGCUUUGAAGCAGCAGAUUAUGAGGGAUUUGCUGUGGGUUUUCCAGAGCAGAGAGAAUAACUGUGACCUGUUCAUGAGCACAGCCAUCAGCAGCUGGCUGGAGGGGAUCAGCCUGUGAGGAGUGAGGAAUCGGGAACUUUCUUCUGGCUCUAGUCACCCGAGGAUAAGCCUGGUUUUGCCCGCGUGACCGCGGCAAAACCGCAGCUAGAGGUUUGGGCUCAAGCCUUGACCACCCAUUGCCCGGAACGGGAUUCGAACCCUUGACCCCAGCUCUGCCACGCCCAAAGGCGCGGGGAUGGGCCGAGAGCCGCUCCCUCGCCAAUCUCCAAUCCCCGCCCGCGCGCCGGACAGCAGCCAAUCGGCAGCGCGAAGCCCCACCCCGUCGCCCCCAACCCCACGGCGGGCUUCCGGGGGGCGCUAUUGAGCAUGCUUCGUGCUCCGGCGGCGCCCGCCUACUUCCGUGCGCCCCCUCCCCCACGCGGAAGCGCGCUGCGGUGCGGGCCGGGCCUUGAGGUGGAUGUGGACCGGUGCGAGCGCUCCACGCACGAGGAUUCCUCCUCAGAGCCUAUAAGAACGGAAGGGACUGCAACCUCCAACUUCAGCAUCUUCGUUACCAAAUUCCCAGAGCACCCAGAGACACCUCAUCCAACUGGGAGUCAUCAGGGCCUAUGCAUCUGCAGCGAUUUCAGAUUUCUGGGCUGUCAGAGGUGACGUCUCAGGCAUUUGGAGUAUCCCACCUCGUGGGAGUGGGAAAUUGAAGAUUUCUGCCGUGGACUUGCACAGAAACCACAGACAAAGUAAAGCUUCUGCAACUAAUGCAUGGAAUGAUGCUGUAAAUUUCUUGGCGGGGGGAGGGGAAGGGGGAGGGAAGGCUUAUCCAGAAACGUUUAGACUGUUCUGUGAAAUAAGUAAGUGGCUCCUGUUUCCCAAGGGCACUUUUUGUAGAGGAGCAAAGCACCAAGCUUCGGGGUAUGCAGUGAAGUUAGGGAAGCAGUUAGAGCUUUGCUGUCCUCUGCUCAUCCUGCUUGACGUAUGACAGUUUUGUGAGUUGCUUUGUGUUUUGUCCCAGUCUUCCUG